UGAGACCUCAGGUCAGGCGGGACUACCCGCUGAAUUUAAGCAUAUCAAUAAGCGGAGGAAAAGAAACUAACAAGGAUUCC
rnacentral:rRNA from 3 species